rnacentral:ncRNA from 2 species
AGUGAAGAUAGAGGUGCGAAUUGACAAGAGUACUCAGCAGAAGGAUGAAAAGAUCCUGUGAUGGUUGAGGAAAGGGUCGUUCGCCGAAACAUAGAAAAGCUUUUCCUUUUCUUAUGUUGGUUCUGCAUUUAAUAAAUGUAGAAUUGUCAGAAUGCAAUAUUCUGGAGGGCUAUCUCACAU